rnacentral:rRNA from 1 species
CCUGUUUAACAAAAACAUGUCUUUUUGAGUUAUUUUAAAAGUCUGACCUGCCCACUGAAAUUAUUUAAAUGGCCGCAGUAUUCUAACUGUGCAAAGGUAGCAUAAUCAUUAGUCUUUUAAUUGAAGGCUGGUAUGAACGGUUGGACGAGGUAUAAGCUGUUUCAUAUAAAUUUAUAAUAGAAUUUUAUAUUUUAGUCAAAAAGCUAAAAUUUAAUUAAAAGACGAGAAGACCCUAUAAAUCUUUAUACUUUAAGUUGUUUAAAUUUUUUAGGUUAAUUUUAUUUUUAUAAUUUAGAGUAUUUUGUUGGGGUGAUAUUAAAAUUUAAUGAACUUUUAGUUGUUAAAAAUCAUUAAUUUAUGAGUUAUUGAUCCAUUAAUAGUGAUUAUAAGAUUAAGUUACUUUAGGGAUAACAGCGUAAUUUUUUUGGAGAGUUCAUAUCGAUAAAAAA